rnacentral:rRNA from 1 species
CUUAAGCAUAUCAAUAAGCGGAGGAAAAGAAACCAACAGGGAUUGCCCUAGUAACGGCGAGUGAAGCGGCAAUAGCUCAAAUUUGAAAUCUGGCUUCCUUGGAAGUCCGAGUUGUAAUUUGCAGAGGGCGCUUUGGCGUCGGUAGCGGUCUAAGUUCCUUGGAACAGGACGUCACAGAGGGUGAGAAUCCCGUACGUGGUCGACUACCUUCGCCGUGUAAAGCCCCUUCGACGAGUCGAGUUGUUUGGGAAUGCAGCUCUAAAUGGGAGGUAAAUUUCUUCUAAAGCUAAAUACUGGCCAGAGACCGAUAGCGCACAAGUAGAGUGAUCGAAAGAUGAAAAGCACUUUGGAAAGAGAGUCAAACAGCACGUGAAAUUGUUGAAAGGGAAGCGCUUGCCGCCAGACGUGCCCGUGGUGGUUCUCCUCCGCGGGCAGGCCAGCAUCAGUUUGGGCGAUCGGAUAAAGGCCUCUGUCAUGUAUCUCCCUUCGGGGUGACCUUAUAGGGGAGGCGUAAUGCGAUCAGUCCGGACUGAGGUCCGCGCAUCUGCUAGGAUGCUGGCGUAAUGGCUGUAAGCGGCCCGUCUUGAAACACGGACCAAGGAGUCUAACAUCUAUGCGAGUGUUUGGGUGUCAAGCCCGAGCGCGUAAUGAAAGUGAACGGAGGUGGGAACCCUUUGGGUGCACCAUCGACCGAUCCUGAAGUCUUCGGAUGGAUUUGAGUAAGAGCAUGGCUGUUGGGACCCGAAAGAUGGUGAACUAUGCUUGAAUAGGGUGAAGCCAGAGGAAACUCUGGUGGAGGCUCGCAGCGGUUCUGACGUGCAAAUCGAUCGUCAAAUUUGGGCAUAGGGGCGAAAGACUAAUC